rnacentral:rRNA from 1 species
CCUACGGGAGGCAGCAGUGGGGAAUUUUGGACAAUGGGCGCAAGCCUGAUCCAGCUAUUCCGCGUGUGGGAUGACGGCCCUCGGGUUGUAAACCACUUUAGUAGAGAACGAAAAGGAGCUAUCGAAUAAAUAGCUCUGCUGACGGUACUCUAAGAAUAAGCACCGGCUCACUACGUGCCAGCAGCCGCGGUAAUACGUAGGGUGCGAGCGUUAAUCGGAAUUACUGGGCGUAAAGGGUGUGCAGGCGGCUGAGUAAGACAGAUGUGAAAGCCCCGGGCUUAACCUGGGAACCGCAGAUGUGACUGCUUGUCUAGAGUGCGUCAGAGGGAGGUGGAAUUCCACGUGGAGCAGUGAAAUGCGUAGAUAUGUGGAAGAACACCGAUGGCGAAGGCAGCCUCCUGGGACGCAACUGACGCUCAUACACGAAAGCGUGGGGAGCAAACAGGAUUAGAUACCCGGGUAGUC